UGCCACUCAUCUUCGGAUGAAGCACUCUGAUGGGACUGCCUGGGAAACCAGGAGGAAGGUGGGGACGACGUCAAGUCAUCAUGGUCCUUAUGUCCAGGGCUACACACGUGUUACAAUGGUCGGUACAAAGGGGUGCAAUGCUGCAAGGCGGAGCAAAUCCCAGAAAGCCGGUCUAAGUUCGGAUUGGGGUCUGCAAUUCGACCCCAUGAAGUUGAAAUCGCUAGUAAUCGUAUAUCAGCAACGAUACGGUGAAUACGUUCUCGGACCUUGUACACACCGCCCGUCACACCACGAAAGCUAUUUGUACCCAAAGCUAUCUUAGCCAACCUGUAAAGGGGGCGGAUAGUUAAGGUAUGGGUAGUGAUUGGGGUG
rnacentral:rRNA from 1 species